rnacentral:rRNA from 1 species
CCCUUAGAUGUCCUGGGCUGCACGCGCGCUACACUGAUGUGUCCAGUAAGCACCUAACCUCUUCCGAAAGGAACGGGUAACCUUUGCAAAGCACAUCGUGUUGGGGAUAGAUUAUUGCAAUUAUUAGUCUUGAACGAGGAAUUCCUAGUAAGCACAAGUCAUCAGCUUGUGUUGAUUACGUCCCUGCCCUUUGUACACACCGCCCGUCGCUCCUACCGAUUGAAUGUUCCGGUGAGCUCUUCGGACUGCGCGGUCUGCAGUUUCUGCGUUCCGUGCGGAAAGUUGCGCAAACCUUAACAUUUAGAGGAAGGAGAAGUCGUAACA